ACGAACGCUGGCGGCAUGCCUAACACAUGCAAGUCGAACGGGAUCCAGGCUUCGGUUUGGUGAGAGUGGCGAACGGGUGAGUAACGCGUGGGAACCUGCCCAGAGGUACGGAAUAACAGUUGGAAACGACUGCUAAUACCGUAUGAGCCCGAGAGGGGAAAGAUUUAUCGCCUUUGGAGGGGCCCGCGUCAGAUUAGGUAGUUGGUGGGGUAAUGGCCUACCAAGCCUGCGAUCUGUAGCUG
rnacentral:rRNA from 1 species